AUAAUAUGUGCUCAUUCCAUCUUUAGACACGACUCCCACCCUCGGGCUUGUUGUUGAACUUGCUAAGUCGCUUACGAACAUGUAUUUUCACUUGCAAAUUUUUAAUCCCUUCUUACCACGUGAAAUCUAAAAAUAAAUAUUAGGUUAUAUGAAAUAACAAUUUGUUACGAUAUAUUGUGUCUUACCGAUGGAAUAAUUGAGUUAAACAAAGCUGAGGGAAUGACAAAACCAUAGACUCAUAGAGUUUUGAACUCCUCAGUUUGUCCAUCGACUCGCAAAUAUCAGGCCAUUGUUCUCUCAACCUCAUUCAAUCUUUUUACUUUAAGAUAUAUAUUUUAAGAUCUGAAUACCAGCCAUGAAAAACGUAUUUAUUCUAAUAGCCAUUGGAGUUGUGUUUGCUACCAUUUACAGUGGUGCUAUAGCUGAAGAUGGCGACGACCAGGGAGAAAAUGUAGGAAUCAAAUUUGGCUCCGUGGAUAAUCAGAGGAGAAUGAUCGAAUUGGAUUCGUGGAAAAGAAAGAAGCGUGACAUUUUAUUUUCAAACAAUGCAGAUGACAUUGCUCUUUUUUAUUGACUUCAUUUGGACAACAAUAUCAAAGGAAUACAACAAUCAUCGAUGCAUCGUUUGUUACGUAAUUACGUAUAAUGUUAUUAUAUUUUUGAGUUGAUAAAAAUUAGGAAUUUAAUAAAAUGUUAUAUGUAUGAA